rnacentral:lncRNA from 1 species
UCCCCUGUGUCAGAUUCUCCCUCAGUAAUGACUUUUAUAAAACAACAACAAAUAACAGCAGCUAUUUAUUGAGCAUACAGUGUGCUAAGCAUUGCUUAAGCACUUUACACACACUGAUAUCUCACAGAAGCCCUGUAACACGGCUGUGCUUAGAACUGUUUUGUAAAUGAGGAACCUAAGGCAGAGAGAAAUGAUGUGAGCCCAGGCACUGGUACAGGCAAGGUGAACCCAAGCCUCCUUCCUGGCACUGUGUAAGGAGAGAGGAGCUCUCAGGAGACACCAGAGAGAUAGGUUUUAUAGCACGGCUUAUGAGAGGCUUGGUUGUGAAGACCAGAACAGUAGACGGCCUGACAGUUUAGUCCCAGGAAGCUGCUCUGUAAAGAGUUCAUGUGUGAGUGUUUCAGUGCAGCGUACACUUGGGAUCAUCUUUCCAUGUAAUAAGCCAGAAAGAAACUGUGUUGUAGAGCCUUGCAUUUGGAGAUGAAGGGUUAAAAUCCUCACUGUAUAGGAGGCUCCUCUGAGCCGUAGGGAGGAGCCUAUGACCCUCCAGAACGUGCAUUUGCAGUUGUGAUGUCUAUUCUCUGACCCUCUCCUCCACGCUGUACGUACUGUGCGCAUGUGUGAGAUGCAGAAAUGGGAUUAUACCCCCUUUGCCUUGCUAUUUUAAUUUUGUACUGAGGUAGUUGGAAGCAAUAUCUCCUAUCCUUUUAAUCCUUAGGCACAUUUCAAAUGAGGUGCCCUAUUAUAUGGAUAUAGUACGACGUUUAAUAUCUGACUUUUCACAAUGAAAAUAUCUAUAUUAAACUUUUUCUUUGUAGCUAGUUAGGUUUUUCCUAGAAACCUAUGACUUUGUUAAAGGGAAUCCAUAGUUUUCUUAGAGUGGAGCUGCUUGGUCGAGGCUUCUGCUCAUUUCUAAGCCCUUACUCCGUGAUCCCACAAAAGAAAUGUGCAGUCUGUGGCAACUGGGAGGGGCCUGAAAGGUUUUCAUCCACUGAAGUUGCCUCAGCCAGCUCCUCAUCCAAGUGUGCUCUGAGGGCUGGUGUGACCAUCAGCUAGGUGAGUCUCUUCUAGCAAUGCAUGGCAGUGUACGGUGUCAGCGGGGUUGGUGCUGCUGGUAGCUGGAGGUGGAUAGAUGAGACCUGGACAGCUGAGUACCAUAGGGAGGGUCUCACAGCAGAGUGCUCUGGUCCAAGUGUUGCCGAUCAACAGAAGCCCUGGAAAGACCCAGGCGAAGCCUGCUGGUGUCCUUGAACUCUGGACUGCCAUUUCCUCUCUCUGAGAACCCACACACUUCCUCUCCUCCUCUGCUCCAAGCUGGUAGCUGGACUUUCUCUAAAUCCCUGCUUGCCGUCAUAUGGCAGAUCCUGCUCUACAGCCACCUCUGGGCCCUCAUCCUUGGCUUAAGUAAACUGCAGGACCACGCAAGUUCUUGGUGACUCACAAUGUUUGUACCUCCAGGAAAAAACCAUGUCAUUAACUUUUGAAACAAAACUGACUCACUGGCUGUUAGCAGCGUGGCUGUGAUUUGAUCAGUGUGUAACCACUUAAGAUGGCUGCUUUUGUUGAGGUGGUGGUGGGUUUUCUUCCUGGCCAUAUUAGGGAUUGAAGUGGGGCCUCAGGUGUGCCAAAUGCAGCCUUCUCUCUCUGAAGGAGCCAAGUCCUAGGAGAUUCAGUAUCCACCCCACCCCACCCCCACCUCACCCAUCCCCAGGUUAGCUGCACUGCCUGCCUGGCCUCCGUACUGUGCUGGGUUUAGCUGAGUACUUCAGCUCUGCGAGACAGUUUUCAGUUUUUGUUUAUAGGAAGACAUGGUUUCAGGAGUUUUCUGAAGUUGUCAUGUGCAAACUCUAUCCCUAGUGACCAGGGGUGAGAGGUGUGGCUCAGAUGAGUAGGUCAGUGGGUGUGACAUAGUACCACACACACACUCUUGUUAUAAAGGUGACUUUCUGUGGAGGGUUGCACUUUGGCCCCCCAUCUUAGGAUAAAGCAGCAAUCUCUUCAGAUACCACACCUUUAUCCUUGGUUUCCUAGCCUCCAGGCUGGCAAAAGAUAAAUCUGUUUUUCAUAAAUUACCCAGUUUCAGGUGUUCUGUUACAGCAGCAGAAAGUAGACUGAAGACUCAGUGCCACUCACAGAUACAGCACAGAUAAAUAUGACCUUAUCUUCUGACUUUGCAUUUUUGGAAAGUCUAGAAAUUAAUUUUUUAUCUUAUUGGGAGAAGAAUUAGCUAUGCAAUGACAGAUGGCUGAAUAGAGGCUUCUGGGUGAGACUGGACGUUUCCAUUGUUUUAGGGGAAGGAGGAGAAAGCACAUUCUCUUUUACAGAUGAGGAGCUUUGGAAGUCCACAGAGGCAGUGGUAGGAUGCCUGAGAGUAUAAAGAAGCAGAGGGAAGAGGAAAGGCAGGCGGAUGGCGGAUGGCCGAUAGCGGAUGGCGGAUGGAUGGCAGAGAGUGGACGGCGGACGCCACUGGGAGGAAGCAGGACACUCACUGCUCACAUGGGUCUUGUCCUUACUGCGUGAUGCUGGGGUUGAGCUCCAACAAUAGGCCGUUCAGUAAGAGAGUCCAGACCAACAGAUGUGUGUGUUGUGACAUG